CUUAACUAAACUGCAGUUUAGUAUGGCCAUUGUCAUUAACAGACGUGUCAAGGAUGUGAAUGGGGGUAUGAUGCACUUUAGGUUGUGAAGGGUAGUGUUUGGCUUCAUGUUCUUAAUUUCAUAGCCCUUAUUUAUCCCUUGUUUGAUAUACCUAAUCUGCGCCGAACUAUGUGUUUAUUUAAAAUGCAUAUGAGUGUAGUAGUGCUUCAGUGAUGAUCUUUUUAUCUUCUGUGUGUUUUGCAACUUAUUAAUCUUAGUCUCCCUCUGUUCCCUCUGUUUACAGACAUUGCAUUGUGAGGACUGGUGCCCUGGGAACACUGAGCGCAUUCUCGAAAAUUCCAAAUUUGUGCCACUUCCAUACGAAGACAGCCCAGAAUAAUUGGGCUCCAUCAACCAUCCCGGGUAAAGUCGGUCUGUCCUGAUUGCACUACUUGCUAAUUGAUGACGUCUAGAAGCCAUAGCUGCUUCCCUCUGCCCUCACAAAUAAACUGAUACCAGGAAUUAACAUACAGUAGAUGGUGAUGGUGGUGGUGGCAAGGGUGCCUUCACA